CCUACGGGAGGCAGCAGUGAGGAAUAUUGGUCAAUGGACGAAAGUCUGAACCAGCCAAGUAGCGUGCAGGAUGACUGCCCUAUGGGUUGUAAACUUCUUUUAUAUGGGAAUAAAAUGUUCCACGUGUGGGAUUUUGUAUGUAUCAUAUGAAUAAGGAUCGGCUAACUCCGUGCCAGCAGCCGCGGUAAUACGGAGGAUCCGCGCGUUAUCCGGAUUUAUUGGGUUUAAAGGGAGCGUAGGUGGCUUGUUAAGUCAGUUGUGAAAGUUUGCGGAUCAACCGUAAAAUUGCAGUUGAAACUGGCAGUCUUGAGUACAGUAGAGGUAGGCGGAAUGCGUGGUGUAGCGGUGAAAUGCUUAGAUAUCACGAAGAACUCCGAUUGCGAAGGCAGCUGACUGGACUGCAACUGACACUGAGGCUCGAAAGUGUGGGUAGCAAACAGGAUUAGAUACCCGUGUAGUC
rnacentral:rRNA from 1 species